rnacentral:rRNA from 1 species
GACGAACGCUGGCGGCGUGCUUAACACAUGCAAGUCGAACGGUGAAGCACCUUCCUUUUGGUGGGUUUGGAUGAGUGGCGUACGGGUGAGUAACACGUGAGUAACCUUCCCCCUUCUUCUGGAUAACCGCAUGAAAGUGUGGCUAAUACGGGAUAUUCUGUGCCUGCUGCAUGGUGGGGGUGGGAAAGAUGCGCUGUUGGGUGUUUUUGGUGGGGGAUGGGCUCGCGGCCUAUCAGCUUGUUGGUGGGGUGAUGGCCUACCAAGGCGGUGACGGGUAGCCGGCCUGAGAGGGUGGACGGUCACACUGGGACUGAGACACGGCCCAGACUCCUACGGGAGGCAGCAGUGGGGAAUAUUGCACAAUGGGCGCAAGCCUGAUGCAGCGACGCCGCGUGAGGGAUGGAGGCCUUCGGGUUGUAAACCUCUUUCGCCAGUGAAGCAGGCCUGUCCCUUGUGGGUGGGUUGACGGUAGCUGGAUAAGAAGCGCCGGCUAACUACGUG